rnacentral:tmRNA from 1 species
GGGGGCGACCUGGCUUCGACGCUGGUUGCAAAACCUGAAGUGCAUGUCGAGAGGGUAGUGACUCUCGUUAAUCAAUCACUGUAACUUUUAUAGUUGCCAACGACGAUAACUACGCGCUAGCUGCUUAAACCUAGUUUAAGAUAGCUUAACCCGGGGCGAAUGUGCCCAUGUAUUCAAACCGGGUGCACGACUCAUGGGACGACUGUUAGACCCCGCUUGUGGUCGAGUCAGUUCGAUAUGAAGCAAGCUCGCUUUUUGAUCCCUGAUUGUCGGGCUAGCAAAAAGUUAAAAAAUAGACAUUCUAAGCAUGUAGAGCUGACGGCAGAGGACUGACGGACGCGGGUUCAAUUCCCGCCGCCUCCACCA